rnacentral:pre_miRNA from 1 species
AGGAGGCACAACCAUAGUGGCGGCAGCCAGUCCUGGAGCCCUGGAUUCAGAUCCCGCAGUAACUACGGAGCUCUCAGCCUGCAGGGUCCUGGAUGCUCUGGGCGCGG